rnacentral:lncRNA from 1 species
AGACAUGUAUACUUAAAUAUUCCAAGCUUCCAUUGCCAGGUUUACAAAAAUACCUUCAGAAGAAACCAGACUGGAAAAUUAAAGAUACUCUCUUUAGAUUCUUUCUGUACUGUAAGUAAUCCUUUCCAAAUCCUAAGAUCACUCAUGAAACUGAAUUCUGAUGAGCAUAACUGCAUUUCUACCUAGGUCUUAGUCAAUGUUCAAACAAGAAAG